rnacentral:rRNA from 2 species
UACGUAGGGGGCGAGCGUUGUCCGGAUUUAUUGGGCGUAAAGAGCUCGUAGGCGGUUCGGCAAGUCGGAUGUGAAAUCUCCACGCUCAACGUGGAGGGGCCAUUCGAUACUGCCGUGACUCGAGUCCGGUAGGGGAGUGUGGAAUUCCCGGUGUAGCGGUGAAAUGCGCAGAGAUCGGGAGGAACACCCGUAGCGAAGGCGGCACUCUGGGCCGUGACUGACGCUGAGGAGCGAAAGCGUGGGGAGCGAACAGG